UACAGAGGGGGCAAGCGUUGUUCGGAAUUAUUGGGCGUAAAGGGCGCGUAGGCGGCUUGGCAAGUGGAUGGUGAAAUCCCUCGGCUUAACCGAGGUACUGCCGUCCAAACUGCUUUGCUUGAGGCCGGGAGAGGCGAGUGGAAUUCCCAGUGUAGCGGUGAAAUGCGUAGAUAUCAGGAGGAACACCGGUGGUGUAAACGGCUUUCUGGACCGAUAACUGACGCUGAGGCACGAAAGCGUGGGUAGCAAACGGG
rnacentral:rRNA from 1 species